AAGGGACCUAGCGUAGUUCGGAAUUACUUGGCUUAAAGAGUUCGUAGGUGGUUGAAAAAGUUGGUGGUGAAAUCCCAGAACUUAACUCUGGAACUGCCAUCGAAACUUUUCAGCUAGAGUAUGAUAGAGGAAAGCAGAAUUUCUAGUGUAGAGGUGAAAUUCGUAGAUAUUAGAAAGAAUACCAAUUGCGAAGGCAGCUUUCUGGAUCAUUACUGACACUGAGGAACGAAAGCAUGGGUAGCGAAGAGGAUUAGAUACCCUCGUAGUCCAUGCCGUAAACGAUGUGUGUUAGACGUUGGAAAUUUAUUUUCAGUGUCGCAGGGAAACCGAUAAACACACCGCCUGGGGAGUACGACCGCAAGGUUAAAACUCAAAUGAAUUGACGGGGACCCGCACAAGUAGUGGAGCAUGUGGUUUAAUUCGAAGAUACGCGCAGAACCUUACCAACACUUGACAUGUUCGUCGCGACUCUAAGAGAUUAGAGUUUUCGGUUCGGCCGGACGAAACACAGGUGCUGCAUGGCUGUCGUCAGCUCGUGUCGUGAGAUGUUGGGUUAAGUCCCGCAACGAGCGCUACCCUCACUUUUAGUUGCCAUCAUUAAGUUGGGCACUCUGAAAGAACUGCCAGUGAUAAGCUGGAGGAAGGUGGGGAUGACGUCAAGUCCUCAUGGCCCUUACGUGUUGGGCUACACACGUGCUACAAUGGCAUCUACAACAGGAAGCAAAACGGCAACGUUAAGCAAAUCCCGAAAAGAUGCCUCAGUUCGGAUUGCACUCUGCAACUCGAGUGCAUGAAGCUGGAAUUACUAGUAAUCGUGGAUCAGCGUGCCACGGUGAAUGCGUUCCCGGGUCUUGUACACACCGCCCGUCACACCAUGGGAGUUGGUUCUACCUUAAGGCAAGGUUUCAAACCCUUGACCACGGUAUAGUCAGCGACUGGGGUGAAGUCGUAACAAGGUAGCCGUAGGGGAACCUGCGGCUGGAUUACCUCCUUUCUAAGGAUGAGUGAAAGUAAAAUUUCACUCUAAAUAAUAUACAUCGGUAAUGUUGACCGUCCUCAUUUCUCUUCUUAAAGUAAUGUUUCCUUCUUGUAGGGCCGGUAGCUCAGUUGGUUAGAGCACACCCUUGAUAAGGGUGGGGUCGAAAGUUCGAGUCUUUCUCGGCCCACCAAAAACCUAAAUGGGGGAUUAGCUCAUCUGGGAGAGCGCCUGAUUUGCAUUCAGGAGGUAGCAGGUUCGAUCCCUGUAUCCUCCACCAGGAAACAUUUAGUUAUUAAAACUGUAAAUUAAAAUAAUUUAUAUCAAUAUCUAUAUCCGAACGUUAAAAGUUAUUAUUUAAUGUUCAAAAUAAAAAUUUGAUCACAACAUAGAUAAAUUUUCUUUUUAAAAAGAAUUUUUUUCUGUGCAUAAAUCAAGCGUUUAAGGGCGUGUAGUGGAUGCCUUGGCACUGAAAGCCGAUGAAGGACGUGAUAUGCUGCGAUAAGUUUCGGGGAGCUGUAUGUAAGCUUUGAUCCGAAAAUUU
rnacentral:sRNA from 1 species